GCACUUGCAGCUGGAAAGUCCCUUUAUGAGCAAGAAUCUUGGUAUAAGAGGUUCCAUCUGCAUCAUGAUCUGGAGUUUGAUGGCCUCUAUGCAAGAAGAAACAAAUUUCGCUAAAAGAUGUAACACACAUGGUCCAAAAACCAGCUGAGGGGGAAAAUAUCGAGUAAAACACUUUCCUAAGAUGUCCUUCAUGGUCAUGCUAAGGAACGAGGGGAGGCCGGACUGAACAGGAGAACAGAAAUGGCUACUCCAGUAUCCAGAAGGAUAGUUCACCUGCUUUCAACCUCCAGAUUCUACUAAUAAUUGCUGUUUUACUAUAAACUUCAUGAAACAGUUUAUCUUUACUAUAAACAAAAUAGAAAUAAAAAAUAAUAUG